AACGAACCACCACUCGACCUCCGUCAUUUCUUGACCCAUCGCUGCCGUUGCCGUGGCCGGAGCUCGCCGGAAUCUGCCAUUUUUGCCGGAUUUCCAGUUUGAAUUUUGAGCUCUUCGUUCUCCUUCAAUUCUCCACCAAAUCGAUCGAGUAAGGUAUGGUUUCUCAGCUAUUUUUCGUGUUCUAGCUGAUGGAUGUAUGAGUCUCGAUCGAGUUUAGCUCUAGAGUGUUCGAUUUUCGACUUGAAAAUCGGCAGAAACUUCGGCCGCCGUGAUCGGCCGUUUCUGGUCACUUUUUGGGGUAUGUCCAAGAACAAAAGUGACUCCAAAUGGGGUGUUUUACCUAGAAUAGGAGUUUGGAGUCUUGGUUCCGAGAUUUUUCGGCCUCCCGAAAUCGCUCAGGACACCCAAAUCUGCCUGCGCGUGCUGGGUCGCGUGGGCGAGGGUAGUGACGUAAUUAUGUGCAGUUUUGUGAUCCUGGUGUAGUCACGAGCGCGUAGGAUUUCGCGGAGCUCAAUUCGGAGUCCGUUUGGGCCCCGAACGGAUUUUCCAUAUCGCGCGAUCCUUGGGUGCAGUGUCGUCCAAUCGUUGGAUCGCGCUGAAUUUUGGAUAUGUCGGUCUACGUGAUUUCAGGAUCGUGUAGGAUUCGACGGAUUGCGAAUCGGAGUCCCAGAUACUCCGAAAUCGCGAACCCUAGGGCUAGGGUUUGGAUUUUAAGCGAUAACGCGAAUUUGGCCAAUCCGACCGUGCGUUUCGGACCAAAUUCGCGGAACAUGGUUCCUUCUCUGUUAGGAAACUUCAGAGAAGCCCAGAUUGGCCAUCGGAGACCGUGGACCCGCGGGGUCCCGGAUCGGCCUGUCUGGUGGUUUAUCGCUUAGUGAGGCUUCGGGUCUCUUAAAGUCGUUCUAAGUGUCUGAAAAGCUAAUGUGGGCAUAGGAGUAACUUGAAAUGAGUGCACGUAUUUCUAGGAGCCGUGGGCAGGGUGUUUAAUUUAAAUUCUUUUUAUUCAGCAGUUUAUUAAUUUACUAUUCAUGGUUAAUCAGGCACCAGAGGUCCAGUUGACCCACAGGAGGGACCUUCGAAGGGUCCAGCUAGCUCGGACCAACAGUGAGUGGACUUUUCUUUCUUAAACGGUUUUAUGAUUAUAUUUUCUAUUUGAUUUUGAAUAAGUGUUAUAGAAUGAAUUUUAUUGUGAAAUAUCUUUAUUUUUAUAAAAUUUAGCCGAGCAAACAGAUUUGAGGUUCUUGAUACAGAAAUACUAAUUUAGCUCAGAUUUACCAGAAUACAGUGGAUUAUCAGAAUUUAUCAGAGAUAGUUAUUUUAGAACCACCGUGUACCCAUUAUCUUUGGUGAUUACCCACAGUCGGACUGAUGUCUACGGACAUCCAGUCUGAUUUCAGUUACGUCAAUGCAUUUGACUUUGCCUCACGAGUUUCGGGGACACUCGGACCGUGAGUGCCAGGAUUUGCGGCUCGGCAGACUUGGUGUCCCGAGACCUGCCAGGAUUGCGGCUCGGCUGACUCUGUGUCCCCGAGACCUGCCAGGAUUGCGAAUCAGGCUGACUACGGUCCCCUGCAUCCUACCAGAGCGGCUCGAGUCGACUUGGCGUCAUCGAGACCUGCCGACGGAUCAGGCUGAUCAUAGUCCCCUGAUUUUACCAGUUUGCGGCUCGGGUAGCCUGCGUGACGCCCGAGACCUGCCAGGGGAAUUGACGGAUAUGACAGGGGUAAAAUUAGGUGGUAGUUUCAAAGGAUUUUAAGCUCUUUUAUACAGUUACGACUUUCAGUUGUUUUAUACCAGUUCUGUGAUAUUCAUGCAUUUCUAUCUUUAUAUAUUUGUUCAGUUAUGCGAAUAUAUUCAUCAGUAUAUUUAUUCAUGUUUAUUGAGUACUUUAUAUUGAAAUAUAGUUAAAUUAUCGAUUUAUAUCCCUAGUAUUUCAAAACGGGGGUUAUUAUGUUCUAAAUUGUUUUUAAGAACCUUAUUUUUGUCCGCUCACAAUUUUAACCUUGUUUUUGGCCCCCAGGCCAUAGAAGUACGAAGGAAACCACUCGGGCCAUCUUCCCAGCUUCCGCCCCACCACCAAAUUGUAG
rnacentral:lncRNA from 1 species